rnacentral:rRNA from 1 species
AUACGAAGGGGGCUAGCGUUGUUCGGAUUUACUGGGCGUAAAGCGCACGUAGGCGGAUUGAUAAGUUAGGGGUGAAAUCCCGAGGCUCAACCUCGGAACUGCCUCUAAUACUGUCAAUCUCGAGACCGGAAGAGGUGAGUGGAACUCCUAGUGUAGAGGUGGAAUUCGUAGAUAUUAGGAAGAACACCAGUGGCGAAGGCGGCUCACUGGUCCGGUUCUGACGCUGAGGUGCGAAAGCGUGGGGAGCGAACAGGAUUAGAUACCCCAGUAGUCC